rnacentral:rRNA from 1 species
GACGAACGCUGGCGGCGUGCCUAAUACAUGCAAGUAGAACGCUGAAGGAGGAGCUUGCUUCUCUGGAUGAGUUGCGAACGGGUGAGUAACGCGUAGGUAACCUGCCUGGUAGCGGGGGAUAACUAUUGGAAACGAUAGCUAAUACCGCAUAAGAGUAGAUGUUGCAUGACAUUUGCUUAAAAGGUGCAAUUGCAUCACUACCAGAUGGACCUGCGUUGUAUUAGCUAGUUGGUGAGGUAACGGCUCACCAAGGCGACGAUACAUAGCCGACCUGAGAGGGUGAUCGGCCACACUGGGACUGAGACACGGCCCAGACUCCUACGGGAGGCAGCAGUAGGGAAUCUUCGGCAAUGGACGGAAGUCUGACCGAGCAACGCCGCGUGAGUGAAGAAGGUUUUCGGAUCGUAAAGCUCUGUUGCAAGAGAAGAACGAGUGUGAGAGUGGAAAGUUCACACUGUGACGGUAUCUUACCAGAAAGGGACGGCUAACUACGUG